CUCAUUGUCCAAAAAUAUAACAAACCAUAACACAUAACUUUGUCCACUGCAAGAAAGUAACAAAAUCCAUAACACAUGAGAACAACAAAAACUCUUCACUAUUUUCUCCCUACCACAACCAAACUAUUACACAACUUUCAUCUCUCUUUACUUCAUAAAACUCUAUCUCUCUUGUUAGAAAAAGAAAAGCGUGGAGAAGAUGAAACAGAAGGCGAAAAAAUCUCUUCUCAAAAACCACCUUUCACAUCCAUUAAUACAUCAAAACACUCCCUUCUUACUUCUUCAAACACAUAACCACACACCAUUUUUUUAACUUAAAAAAAAAGACUAUCUUCAUCUUCAAACACAAAUAUCAUCAUCGCCACUUUAACUCUCAUAAAACAACAACUUCAUUACAAUAACCAACCACAUCAUCCACGUGCAAAUCACCCCAGUGUCCGUUCAAGUUGUUGCAGCGACUUUUUUUUGCAUCAUUACCACCGUCGGAAACUCACCACCAUCCUCCGCUGAUGCUUUUCGAUUUUUGAUUUUUACUUCGAGUCCCUUAGCUUUCUCUUGGGCCUUCUUACAACGAGAUUCUUUUAUUUUUACAAUUGUCUUUUAAUCUUGUACUGUUUAAAUUCUUGUGUCUUAUCCCCAUUUGAUAAAAUGUACCCCCAUUCCCGUAAAUAUGUAAUAAGUUUACCGCUUUCAUUUACUUUAUUGUAUCAGUUGAUCGUUAAUUCGAAGAUUAAAAUCAA